rnacentral:rRNA from 1 species
AGUGAACGCUGGCGGCAGGCCUAACACAUGCAAGUCGAACGGCAGCACAGUAAGAGCUUGCUCUUACGGGUGGCGAGUGGCGGACGGGUGAGGAAUACAUCGGAAUCUACUUUUUCGUGGGGGAUAACGUAGGGAAACUUACGCUAAUACCGCAUACGACCUACGGGUGAAAGCCGGGGACCUUCGGACCUUGCGCGAUUGAAUGAGCCGAUGUUGGAUUAGCUGCUUGGGGGGGUAAAGGCCCACCAAGGGGGCGACCCGUAGCUGGUCGGAGAGGAAGAACAGCCACACGGGAACUGAGGCAGAGCCCAGACUCCGACAGUGAGCAGCAGUGGGGAAUACUGGACAAGGGGGGCAAGGCGGAUCCAGCCAUACCGCGUGAGUGAAGAAGGCCUUCGGGUUGGAAAGCCCAUUUGUUGGGAAAGAAAAGCAGCACGUUCAUACCCCGCUGUUCUGACGGUACCCAAAGAAUAAGCACCGGCUAACUUCGUG